AAAACAUAUGCUGAAGAGUAGACUACAACAGAAUAAGACAGACAUGAAAUACAAGAAUAAAGGUUAGAGUACAAUGUAAGAAAUGAACAAUUACUUAAAGAAAGGCAGCAUCAAA